rnacentral:rRNA from 1 species
AUGAUGUUCUCUACACUCGCCUCAUUGCUUGGAGGGGGCCUGAUGACCCAGCCACCAGCAACUAACUACUCCAUGGGCGGUGACCCUAGUUCGGACCUCCAGGUUGUAAUCUGGAAUGGGACUACACCAUAUUGGCGCAGAUCUGUGUGGGAUGGUGAAUUGGUCGAUGGCUGGUAUCAAGGUAGCACUGGCUUCAUCAUGACCCUGACAAUUGUCUACCAAGGGCGUGAGUUAUACAUGACAUUCACCGUCUCCGACGACUCGCCAAGCAUGCGAAUGGUGCUGCACUACACGGGCAUGUUUAGGUUUCUGGUGUGGAACAGCAACUCGUCAUCAUGGGAGGUUUUCACAGAGCAGCCAAGUCCUAGCUGUGACCAAUACGCCUACUGCGGACCAUUUGGCUACUGUGAUGCCACUGAAACAGUUCCGAAAUGCAACUGCCUCAGUGGGUUUGAGCCUGACGGUGUUAACUUCUCCAGAGGGUGCCGGAGAAAGGAGGAUCUGAAAUGUGGCGGUGGCGAUAAUUUCUUGACCUUGAGAGGUAUGAAGAUACCCGAUAAGUUCGUAUAUGUCAGGAACAGAGGCAUCGACCAAUGCAGAGCAGAGUGCAGCCGUAAUUGCAAUUGCACUGCGUAUGCUUAUGCUAACCUGCAAAAUGGCAGCACGUCUGAUGACGUGCCAAGGUGCUUGAUUUGGUUGGGGGAGCUUGUCGACACAGGAAAGUUUCGUGAUGGCGAGAACCUGUACCUCCGUCUAGCCAGUUCAACAGUUGCCAAAGAGAGCAAUGUAUUGAAGAUUGCACUCCCACUAUUUCUGUCAGGCAAACGACGAAUCAAGAAAGUUAAGAAUAAAUAUGCACGACAACACUCGAAAAAUUCCAAAUCUAUCGAACUUGAGAACGAAACCAUAGAACUUCCAUAUAUUUGCUUUGAAGAUGUUGUUACUGCAACGGACAAUUUCUCAGAUUACAACAUGCUUGGGAAAGGUGGCUUCAGAAAAGUUUACAAGGGACGGUUACAAGGUGGCUAUGAAGUUGCUGUCAAAAGGCUAAGCAAGAGUUCUGGUCAAGGGGCUGACGAGUUCAGAAAUGAAGUGGUUCUGAUUGCCAAAUUGCAGCAUAGAAACUUAGUUAGGCUUCUUGCUUACUGCACUCACGAAGAUGAGAAGUUAUUGAUAUAUGAAUACUUACCUCACAAAAGUUUAGAUGCCUUCCUUUUUGAUGCCACAAGAAAUUUUGUGCUUGAUUGGCCGACCAGGUUUAAGGUAAUUAAAGGGAUAGCGAGAGGGCUUCUUUAUCUCCAUCAAGAUUCAAGGCUAACAAUAAUCCAUCGUGAUCUCAAAGCAAGCAAUGUCUUGUUAGAUGCGGAAAUGAACCCUAAAAUAUCAGAUUUUGGUAUGGCAAGGAUCUUUGGAGGAAAUGAGCAGCAAGUGAACACUAUCCGUGUUGUUGGGACAUACGGUUACAUGUCUCCUGAAUAUGCAAUGGAAGGUUCCUUUUCUGUCAAGUCUGACAUGUAUAGCUUUGGCAUUCCUCUGUUGGAGAUUGUAAGCGGGUUAAAGAUUAGCUCAUCCCAUCUCACAAUGGAUUUUCCAAGCCUUAUAGCUUAUGCAUGGAGCUUAUGGAAAGAUGGAAAUGCAGGAGAAUUGGUGGACUCGUCCAUUACGGAGAUCUGUCCACUUCAUGAAGUUCUGCGGUGUAUUCAGUUAGGUCUCUUGUGUGUUCAAGACGAUCCAAGUGCUCGUCCACUCAUGUCAUCCACCGUGUUCAUGUUAGAAAAUGAAACAGCCCCGCUUCCUACUCCGAAGGAGCCUGUAUAUUUUAGGCAACGGAAGUAUGAAGUUGAAGACCAAAGGCAAGACUAUGACCUGGAAAUGUCUCUUAAUGGCAUGACUAUGACAAUGGAAGAGGGGCGUUAA